GACAGAGGGUGCAAGCGUUGUUCGGAAUUAUUGGGCGUAAAGGGCGCGUAGGCGGCCCGUCAAGUCGGAUGUGAAAGCCCAGGGCUCAACCUUGGAAGUGCAUCCGAAACUGGCGAGCUAGAGUUCACGGAGAGGGUGGUGGAAUUCCCAGUGUAGAGGUGAAAUUCGUAGAUAUUGGGAGGAACACCGGUGGCGAAGGCGACCACCUGGACGGAAACUGACGCUGAGGCGCGAAAGCGUGGGUAGCAAACAG
rnacentral:rRNA from 1 species